CAUUUUCUAAUUUACACAGAGUAAUUUAAGAUCUUUGCACUUUGCAUGCUUCUUGGACAAUAUGCUUGCAUUUUUCUGUUUUUAGCAAAUUUGGAUGCUUUUAAAGGACAUUUGCCUGCUGUAAAGAGGAUCAUUUCUGCCUGAAUGAGGAGAGUUGUUUUCUCUAUUCAAGUAUUAGAAACUGCUGGAACAUUUCUAGUUUGAAACAUGUACAUUUGAAUGUGUGUAAUUUUGAGGAUGACUUAGGUAAAUUUUGAGCAUUGGACAAUUGCAAUUGUACUUGUGUGUUUUCUACAUACAGUUUUGCAACAGUAGUGCAAAAUUCAAAUUAUUCGAUAAAUUUAUUGUCUUUUUUUGUACAUUAUUGGACAACAUGUGCAGAGAGGCUUAUUAGUGUUAUAAGUAACUCUAUUUCAUAUUUUUCAGGUGUACUUGGAGUUUAACAGGGUUGUUGGUAGAAAUCUUAAAGAAGAGUUCUUUGGUGUUCUUGAUGGUUUGUGUCCAAGCUUGAUGGAAAUCUACAAGAGGAAGACAGGUUGGAUAGGCAAGCAGUUAACUGACCUGGUACAACAGACAAUGAGCACCAACAGCCAAUAGAUGCCUUGUGCUGAGAGGACUUCCAGUCAUUCUUGGAGAUGAUGCGUCUAUGUUCUUUAAGAGCAGUUCGGAUCUUAAUGAGGGAGACUCUGUGGACAUUCCCAUGGGAAUCCUCUGCUAUGAGGACACCAGUGCUGCAAGCCCAGCAAGCCCAGCACAGAGCAAAAAAUGUAAAAACUAUGCUGUGAUUGUAUUUGGAAGGAAAUCGAUUCCUAAUUCAAUAUACAUGUUCUGUUUGCUGCAUCAUAGAAAGGUACUAUAAGGUAAUAUCUGCAGCAAAAAGUAAGAAUAUACUGUUGGCAAAGACCCACUUUAAUAAUUUUAUGAAAACAAGGUCUUGCUGUUAUUUUGGAUUUGCAUCUGGUAUUUAACACAGCAUCA